CUGAACCUGCGGAAGGAUCAUU
rnacentral:rRNA from 3 species